rnacentral:rRNA from 1 species
AACGUAGGACACAAGCGUUAUCCGGAGUUACUGGGCGUAAAGGGUGUGUAGGCGGUUGUUUAAGUUUGGUGUGAAAUCUCCCGGCUCAACCGGGAGGGUGCGCCGAAUACUGAGUGACUAGAGUGCGGGAGAGGAAAGUGGAAUUCCUGGUGUAGCGGUGAAAUGCGUAGAUAUCAGGAGGAACACCGGUGGUGUAGACGGCUUUCUGGACCGUAACUGACGCUGAGACACGAAAGCGUGGGUAGCAAACAGG